rnacentral:ncRNA from 1 species
GCACUCUGGAGACGCCCGGCACGCGCCGGGGGCCGAAGGUGAAAGCGCUUUGAUGCGCGAAGCUCUCAGGCAAAAGGACAGAGCGU